rnacentral:lncRNA from 1 species
ACAGAAUAUGCAUCAGAAUCACCUGGAGACACUUGUCAAAACAAGUGUCUGGGCCCUACUCUGAUUCAAUAUGUCUGGGGUAGGUUCUAUGGUGAGCAUUUCUAACAAGUUCCCUGGUGAUGCUAUUGCUACCACUGGACCACACUUUGAGAACCACUGUACGAAGUAUCCGUGUUCUUCUUAGUUUUGUGUAUAAACAGAGCCUGGAGCUGUUGCAACAGGAAGUACCAAAGUCCCAAGUGGGUAACUGGGAGCAGUGUAUGGUUACCCUAGCAAGAGAAUGUCGUCCCUCCAGGGAAGACCUGGAGGAGAUCAUUACUGAUUCGCUUUGCUGUGGUGUCAUUCUUCCUGGAAACCCAAUCUCAGUGGAUUCUGGGUGUGAAAAACAAGUUCAGGUGUGGAAAUUGGGCAGAGACUUGUGGUUUUUUAAAAAUUAUUGGAUCAAUGGUACUCAGCUUUUUCACUAUCCAACUUUGAUUUCUUUUGAUAGCAUAGAUUGAGCAGUACGCUUGUUGGCUGCUCAUCUACUGACCUUGGGGAGUGCAGGUUUUAUUAAUCUCCUCUACAGUUCUCUCCAGAUGAGCCUCUCCCCUCACUGACUGACACCCCAACCUUACACCCACCUUGUUUCUGAAGGUUAAGGGCAUGGCCUCUAUUGUGUUGGGCCCUUUCAUCCCUGUUACUAUCAGGCAGUUUAGUUCUAUAACAGCAUCUCCUAAUGUCAGCUCUAGAGAAUACAGAGCUAAUGUGGAGAUUUCGAUGUUCUUGUCAUUGGCACUCUUUAUUGUUUGGGUUGAGUGUCUUAGAGGCCUUCCUGUGGGAUGUAGUCAGUUGGUGGGUUUUCUGUAAGAUCAGGCAAGGCGGGCAGAGACCAAAGGAGGCAGAUUUAAAAAGGCCGCCCAACGAGGCUUUAUUGAGAUAUCACUCCCGGGUGGAACUAGAUCAGACCCACAGAGUGGACAGGAGAAGGUUCUGAGGAGAAACCGCAUAGGAGCCGACGGAGCUUAGAGUCCCUUGUCCCUUUGGAGUUGGUCAGGGGUGCUGGCUGAACUCCAGGAUUGGCCAGGGAGUCCUGCUGAUUGACACAUGUUAGUCAGGAGAUCCCGCUGAUUGACAGGCUUUUCCUUGGCGCCUGAUUGAUAUUUCUUUCCCUCCCUGGCUGCUUUGUUCUAAGUUGCCACCACUGACCUGACAUUCUGAUCAUACAUAAGCUGUAUAUCCACUCUAUCAUGCUUACUUCUCAAAAUAAUCAACUAUAUUAAAAGUCAGGAAAACAGUUAUUUGGGGCACAAGGGAAAGAUAAUAAUUGGAGGAAGCAUAGGGGGUUUCUGGGAUGCUGGCAAUGUGCUGUUUUUUGACCUGGGCACAUUGUGUGAAAAUUCAACAAGCUGUAUGAUUAUUUGUGGGUCUUACUGUAUGUCUGAUAGACUUAAAUUAAAAACAGAAAAAAAAUUUAAAUUAAACUACAGAAAUGGGAAAUAGUGACUAGAGGAACACUUUGUAGGUUAAAACAAAGGCAAAACAUGUUUUCCUAGGUUGUUCAUGUUGACAGCUCUUUACUGCAAAGUAUGGCUGGCAGUAACGCACCCUGUUCAUUAAAAGACUGUUUUUCAAUUCAAGGGAGCAAGUAAGAUUGGCCUCCUUGAAACACUCCUCCCUUUGUUUCCAUGAAACUGUUCUCAACUAUUUUUUUUGUGUGUGUGGGGGUGGGGGGUUGGGGGA